rnacentral:rRNA from 1 species
CCUACGGGAGGCAGCAGUGGGGAAUAUUGCACAAUGGGGGAAACCCUGAUGCAGCGACGCCGCGUGAGUGAAGAAGGAAUUCGUUAUGUAAAGCUCUAUCAGCAGGGAAGAAAAUGACGGUACCUGAGUAAGAAGCCCCGUCUAAAUACGUGCCAGCAGCCGCGGUAAUACGUAGGGGCCAAGCGUUAUCCGGGUUUACUGGUUGUAAAGGGAGCAUAGACGGCAUGGCAAGUCUGGAGUGAAAGGCGGGGGGUCAACCCCCGGACUGCUCGGGAAACUGUACGACUAGAGUGCAGGAGAGGUAAGUGGAAUUCCUAGUGUAGCGGUGAAAUGCGUAGAUAUUAGGAGGAACACCAGUGGCGAAGGCGGCUUACUGGACUGUAACUGACGUUGAGGCUCGAAAGCGUGGGGAGCAAACAGGAUUAGAUACCCGAGUAGUC